rnacentral:rRNA from 1 species
AGUGAACGCUGGCGGUAGGCCUAACACAUGCAAGUCGAACGGCAGCACAGUAAGAGCUUGCUCUUACGGGUGGCGAGUGGCGGACGGGUGAGGAAUACAUCGGAAUCUACUUUUUCGUGGGGGAUAACGUAGGGAAACUUACGCUAAUACCGCAUACGACCUACGGGUGAAAGCAGGGGAUCUUCGGACCUUGCGCGAUUGAAUGAGCCGAUGUCGGAUUAGCUAGUUGGCGGGGUAAAGGCCCACCAAGGCGACGAUCCGUAGCUGGUCUGAGAGGAUGAUCAGCCACACUGGAACUGAGACACGGUCCAGACUCCUACGGGAGGCAGCAGUGGGGAAUGUUGGACAAUGGGCGAAAGCCUGAUCCAGCCAUACCGCGUGGGUGAAGAAGGGCUUCGGGUUGUAAAGCCCUUUUGUUGGGAAAGAAAAGCAGCAUGGUAAUACCCCGCUGUUCUGACGGUACCCAAAGAAUAAGCACCGGCUAACUUCGUG